rnacentral:tRNA from 1 species
GCCGAGAUAGCUCAGUUGGUAGAGCAAUGCACUCGUAACGCAUAGGUCACGGGUUCGAUUCCCGUUUUCGGCU